rnacentral:rRNA from 1 species
GNNUCGUAAAAGNNNCUNNNNUUAGGGAAGAANNAAGUACCGUUUCNNNAGGGCGGUACCUNGACCGGUNCCUNANCCCNNNNNCCACCGGCUAACCUACGNNCCAGCAGCCGCGGGUAAUACGUAGGUGGCAAGCGUUGUCCGGAAAUUAUUGGGCGUAAAAGGGCUCGCAGGCGGUUUCUUUAAGUCUGAUGUGAAAGCCCCCCGGCUCAACCGGGGAGGGGUCAUUGGAAACUGGGGAACUUGAGUGCAGAAGAGGAGAGUGGAAUUCCACGUGUAGCGGUGAAAUGCGUAGAGAUGUGGAGGAACACCAGUGGCGAAGGCGACUCUCUGGUCUGUAACUGACGCUGAGGAGCGAAAGCGUGGGGAGCGAACAGGAUUAGAUACCCUGGUAGUCCACGCCGUAAACGAUGAGUGCUAAGUGUUAGGGGGUUUCCGCCCCUUAGUGCUGCAGCUAACGCAUUAAGCACUCCGCCUGGGGAGUACGGUCGCAAGACUGAAACUCAAAGGAAUUGACGGGGGCCCGCACAAGCGGUGGAGCAUGUGGUUUAAUUCGAAGCAACGCGAAGAACCUUACCAGGUCUUGACAUCCUCUGACAAUCCUAGAGAUAGGACGUCCCCUUCGGGGGCAGAGUGACAGGUGGUGCAUGGUUGUCGUCAGCUCGUGUCGUGAGAUGUUGGGUUAAGUCCCGCAACGAGCGCAACCCUUGAUCUUAGUUGCCAGCAUUCAGUUGGGCACUCUAAGGUGACUGCCGGUGACAAACCGGAGGAAGGUGGGGAUGACGUCAAAUCAUCAUGCCCCUUAUGACCUGGGCUACACACGUGCUACAAUGGACAGAACAAAGGGCAGCGAAACCGCGAGGUUAAGCCAAUCCCACAAAUCUGUUCUCAGUUCGGAUCGCAGUCUGCAACUCGACUGCGUGAAGCUGGAAUCGCUAGUAAUCGCGGAUCAGCAUGCCGCGGUGAAUA